UGGCCGUAUGGCCCGCCUGGAUGCCCUUUGAGCGCAAGCGAGAAGGCACCAGGCCACGCAAAAUCCGCUUUUUAGAACAUAGAUGGCACCAGUCAGGUGACCAUCGAAACGCAAUACGCCGCGUCGACUUCGGUCACGACGGUAUGGCGAGCUUUCGCCGUCCACGUUUCUCUUUCUUCAAGAAGACAAAAAACCGCGUCGACCGGUUCCCCGAAUGGGCCCGUAGCUCAGUUGGUUAGAGCACACGCUUGAUAAGCGUGGGGUCGGUAGUUCAAGUCUACCCGGGCCCACCAUUUGCAUUUGCGAAUGCGGGUUGAGGGAUGACGGAUUUGCCGUUGGGUUUCCUGACGCGGAAAAUUGCCGAACCUGGGCUUGCCCGGGCGAUCGAGCUGAUGGGGCUGUAGCUCAGCUGGGAGAGCACCUGCUUUGCAAGCAGGGGGUCAGCGGUUCGAUCCCGCUCAGCUCCACCAAAUCGAUUGGUGUCGAGACUGACGGCAACGAAGCGUAGCGCAAGGCGCCUCGCCAAUCGUUUGGCGCCCUCGCGGAGCGCCUUUGGCGCGUGAGCGACAAGAAUUGUCUUCUGAAGAAAAACAAAGUUUGCAUCGUUUUGACGAUGCCUGUUCUGCCUAUAUCGUGAAGAGAAGAUUGAUCUGGAGGCUUCCAGGUGUUUUGGGUUUUGGCCCAGGGCGUCCGAAGCCGGUUCCAAUGAUGUCGUUGAUGGUCUAGCCGACCGGAAACGAAAGAGGAGCCGGACGGAGGAAGGAAGCUUGUCCCGAGGCAUUGUUGUUGUUUGAAGGCUUUGGCUUUCAUCUGACCGACGGUGCUGGAUUGGCGUUGCCUGACCGCGCGCCACCGGAUUUGAUCUCGAGAAGCUGGUCUUAAGACAGACUGCAAGCGAGCUGCUCGGCGUAGCUCCAAUAAAGCAGAUCUGUCGAACACGUCGAUGGCAUCAUUAGAAAGCGUGAUUGUAAAAGGUAAUCACGCAUUGUUGGUCUUCGGAUUUGAUUGCGGCAACUGAAAAGUUGUCCGGAUGGUCAGAUUUGGCACCGCCGCGAGAGCGCAAGCCCGAGCGGAUAAGGUUUGCCAAAUCCAACAAAGAUGAUGAGCAUUGGCAAUGAGAACGAUUAAGUGUCGUAAGGGCAUUUGGUGGAUGCCUUGGCAUGCACAGGCGAUGAAGGACGUGAUACGCUGCGAUAAGCCGUGGGGAGCUGCGAAUAG
rnacentral:misc_RNA from 1 species